CACCUAGGCGACGAUCCCUAGCUGGUCUGAGAGGAUGACCAGCCACACUGGAACUGAGACACGGUCCAGACUCCUACGGGAGGCAGCAGUGGGGAAUAUUGCACAAUGGGCGCAAGCCUGAUGCAGCCAUGCCGCGUGUGUGAAGAAGGCCUUCGGGUUGUAAAGCACUUUCAGCGGGGAGGAAGGCGGUGAGGUUAAUAACCUCAUCGAUUGACGUUACCCGCAGAAGAAGCACCGGCUAACUCCGUGCCAGCAGCCGCGGUAAUACGGAGGGUGCAAGCGUUAAUCGGAAUUACUGGGCGUAAAGCGCACGCAGGCGGUCUGUCAAGUCGGAUGUGAAAUCCCCGGGCUCAACCUGGGAACUGCAUUCGAAACUGGCAGGCUAGAGUCUUGUAGAGGGGGGUAGAAUUCCAGGUGUAGCGGUGAAAUGCGUAGAGAUCUGGAGGAAUACCGGUGGCGAAGGCGGCCCCCUGGACAAAGACUGACGCUCAGGUGCGAAAGCGUGGGGAGCAAACAGGAUUAGAUACCCUGGUAGUCCACGCCGUAAACGAUGUCGAUUUGGAGGUUGUGCCCUUGAGGCGUGGCUUCCGGAGCUAACGCGUUAAAUCGACCGCCUGGGGAGUACGGCCGCAAGGUUAAAACUCAAAUGAAUUGACGGGGGCCCGCACAAGCGGUGGAGCAUGUGGUUUAAUUCGAUGCAACGCGAAGAACCUUACCUGGUCUUGACAUCCACAGAACUUUGCAGAGAUGGUUUGGUGCCUUCGGGAACUGUGAGACAGGUGCUGCAUGGCUGUCGUCAGCUCGUGUUGUGAAAUGUUGGGUUAAGUCCCGCAACGAGCGCAACCCUUAUCCUUUGUUGCCAGCGGUCCGGCCGGGAACUCAAAGGAGACUGCCAGUGAUAAACUGGAGGAAGGUGGGGAUGACGUCAAGUCAUCAUGGCCCUUACGACCAGGGCUACACACGUGCUACAAUGGCAUAUACAAAGAGAAGCGACCUCGCGAGAGCAAGCGGACCUCAUAAAGUAUGUCGUAGUCCGGAUUGGAGUCUGCAACUCGACUCCAUGAAGUCGGAAUCGCUAGUAAUCGUAGAUCAGAAUGCUACGGUGAAUACGUUCCCGGGCCUUGUACACACCGCCCGUCACACCAUGGGAGUGGGUUGCAAAAGAAGUAGGUAGCUUAACCUUCGGGAGGGCGCUUACCACUUUGUGAUUCAUGACUGGGGUGAAGUCGUAACAAGGUAACCGUAGGGGAACCUGCGGUUGGAUCACCU
rnacentral:rRNA from 1 species